rnacentral:snRNA from 1 species
GUGCUUCAGCAGCACAUAUACUAAAAUUGGAACGAUAUAGAGAAGAUUAGCAUAGCCCCUGAGCAAAGACAAAAAAAAAAAAAAAAAAGAAUACUGUU